rnacentral:rRNA from 1 species
AUUGAACGCUGGCGGCAGGCUUAACACAUGCAAGUCGAACGAGUGGCGGACGGGUGAGUAAUGUCUGGGAAACUAGCUUAUGGAGGGGGAUAACUACGGGAAACGGUAGCUAAUACCGCGUACCAUAGGAUGAGCCCAGUUGGGAUUAGGUAGUGGGGGGGGUAAAGGCUCACCAAGGCGACGAUCUCUAGCUGGUCUGAGAGGAUGACCAGCCACACUGGGACUGAGACACGGCCCAGACUCCUACGGGAGGCAGCAGUGGGGAAUAUUGCGCAAUGGGCGCAAGCCUGACGCAGCCAUGCCGCGUGAGUGAAGAAGGCCUUCGGGUUGUAAAGUUCUUUCGGCGGGGAGGCGUUACCCGCAGAAGAAGCACCGGCUAACUCCGUGCCAGCAGCCGCGGUAAUUC